rnacentral:lncRNA from 1 species
UUUUUUUGCCAUGAAAUUCCCUGAUUUUUUUUAAUGGGAAAAACACAGAAUAUGGUAUAUUUCCAAGAAUGAGGUGCAAAGUUAAAUAUUUUUGAUAAAGAAAUAAAAGCCUUAACCAUGUAAAUAAUUGAUACAAAUAUUGAUUUUAAUGCAUUAUAAUUUUUGGCAGAAUUACAUAUUUUUAUUUCAAAUCGCUCGGCCCUCCUUCAAAAUAAAAGCGUGUUCAAACGAUCCUGAUGGAGUUGAAGCUAAAACACGUCCUGCAGUGCAGCAUCUACACCGAGCACAGGAAACAUCUAUACUGAUCUGGUGUAGAGACAGAAACUGCAGGAGGAAACCAAAAAUAAAAGCUGGAACUUCUUCACACCAUCAGAGGAUAUAAGAGGAUGAAGUGGUAACAUCAGACAGCAGGGGGCAGCAGCACGCCACCGCAGUGUCUGAAAAGAAACAGAAGAAUCCACAGAGCUGAGUCACAUCUGUGGGAUUUAUUUCUGGACCUAAAAGGUAAACAUACUGAACUGAUGAUGUGAAAUUAAAUCAGAUAUAACGAGAAUAUUCACUCAUGUCAGUGUUAGGGUUUUAGUUCUUAUUGUGUUUUUAUUUUUCAGGAGGUCGGAGCUUCGACAGAUUUCAGUUUGUCGUUUCAACAAUCCUGUUCAAACCUCGAUCAGGUCCAGAGAGGAGAAACUGUUCAGCUCACUUCACAAGAAUCCAGAUCCUGUCCCGGUAAAGGAAAGAGCAGAGACCUGAUCCUGGAGGAGGUUUCACAACGAGGAGGAAACUGUCAGAUGGCCUCGGGCUCGUCGAUAUGUAUUUUUAAAACUUGGAGUGAAAGUGUCUCUGAGUGGGUGUGGAGUCAUGUGUACUGCAGCAGGUCUGUCACUAUUGAUUUAAAGGUCUGACUGAAACAGAUCAAUAAUUCUCAACUUGGAGUAUCUGGUUCUGAAACCGGUCUCUGAGUCCGUGAAGCUGGACUCCCUUCACCCACUGAAAAUACAGUUUUUGUAUCAAAACUGAAAAAUCACAUUAAUUAAAUCUUUUUUAUAAACCAUUUCCCUCUCUCCGGUGGAAACCAGUCCACCUCUGCUUCAGGGCCUGUGUCCACUGACAGCUUCUGUUUGUAGAGUCAGGGCCUGUCUUCAGGUGCAGAUCUUAGUUUUGUUCUUUCCACCGGAUUCACAGACUCACUUCCUGUCCUGACUUCACUUAAAUCAGUAAAAGUGCUGCUGACGACUUUAGUGGCCCAGGUGAGCAGCAGAAAAACUGCUGUCAGUGGACACAGGCCCUUACACUGACCAGUUUUUGUCUGACUUUAAUCAGCAGAGACACCCUCCCCCACAGGAAAUACCUCACAUUUAAUUUACCACAAUAAAAUCAACGUUAUCAUGUCAUCUCUUUUUCUUAAUCCACGUUCGGGAGUGUUUGUAGAAAAACCUUCAGCUGCUGCUGUGAGAGCAAAUAAAUCUGAGCAGCUUGAAGUGAUCCUGAUCAAUUCAGCUAAGACCCAAUUUUCAGUCCGGGUAAACAUGCCGAGCUCAGGAGAUCGGAAACGAGCGAUUAGAUUACUCUGAAAUUUAAUUUGGUUUUCAAAAGGCGAGACUUGAGACGAGUUAUUGGGACGUUUACCGGUUGAUAACUGAGUGUUUGAAAGAUCAUUCGGACUUUUAUUUCUCUAAUAAUAAAAAGACUGAAAUACUGAUGAGAAAACUUUUACACUUUAAAAUACGACGAUCAUUUUAAAACUGAAAUAAACAAAACUUAAAUCUUUGCAAUCAGCGUGAGCUCGAUGUGGGUAAGCUAACUCCAAAAAUGUGAGGAUAAAGAGACUUACCCGGGAUCCAGCGAUCGUGUUCAGACGGUGUUUUUUUCCUGCUUAAAUAAACGUCCGAAUUUCCUCGUUUACAGUCUGGGUCCUGCUUCAGAAGUUUCCGAUCAGAGUCUGAAAUCAUCAAACAUUCAGCAGGUGCUUCUUCACCAGAGUCAGGUCUGUGGUUCUUCUGGAGAG